GCUCAGGAUGAACGCUAGCGGCAGGCUUAACACAUGCAAGUCGAGGGGUAGAGGCCUUCGGGCCUUGAGACCGGCGCACGGGUGCGUAACGCGUAUGCAAUCUGCCUUCCACAGAGGGAUAGCCCAGAGAAAUUUGGAUUAAUACCUCAUAGCAUCAUGGCCCGGCAUCGGGAUAUGAUUAAAGUCACAACGGUGGAAGAUGAGCAUGCGUCCCAUUAGCUAGUUGGUAAGGUAACGGCUUACCAAGGCUACGAUGGGUAGGGGUCCUGAGAGGGAGAUCCCCCACACUGGUACUGAGACACGGACCAGACUCCUACGGGAGGCAGCAGUGAGGAAUAUUGGUCAAUGGGCGCAAGCCUGAACCAGCCAUGCCGCGUGCAGGAUGACGGUCCUAUGGAUUGUAAACUGCUUUUGUACGGGAAGAAACCCUCCUACGUGUAGGAGCUUGACGGUACCGUAAGAAUAAGGAUCGGCUAACUCCGUGCCAGCAGCCGCGGUAAUACGGAGGAUCCAAGCGUUAUCCGGAAUCAUUGGGUUUAAAGGGUCUGUAGGCGGUCUUGUAAGUCAGUGGUGAAAGCCCAUCGCUCAACGGUGGAACGGCCAUUGAUACUGCUGGACUUGAAUUAUUGGGAAGCAACUAGAAUAUGUAGUGUAGCGGUGAAAUGCUUAGAGAUUACAUGGAAUACCAAUUGCGAAGGCAGGUUGCUACCAAUGGAUUGACGCUGAUGGACGAAAGCGUGGGUAGCGAACAGGAUUAGAUACCCUGGUAGUCCACGCCGUAAACGAUGGAUACUAGCUGUUGGGCGCAAGUUCAGUGGCUAAGCGAAAG
rnacentral:rRNA from 1 species